rnacentral:tRNA from 1 species
GCCUGGGUGGCUCAGUCGGUUGAGUGUCUGACUUCAGCUCAGGUCAUGAUCUCACACUCCGUGAGUUCAAGCCCCGCAUCGGGCU